CCGCCCGUCACACCAUGGGAGGGGAUUGCACCAGAAGUAGGUAGUCGAACCUUCGGGAGGACGAUUACCACGGUGUGGUUCAUGACUGGGGUGAAGUCGUAACAAGGUAGCCGUAGGGGAACCUGCGGCUGGAUCACCUCCUUAAU
rnacentral:rRNA from 1 species